rnacentral:lncRNA from 1 species
CUCUGUUUUAUAUACUUUAAUACUGUCCAGCUAUUUUUACAACAUGCAAGUACUUUAUAUUCAGUAACAAUAAGAUUAAGAAACACCUCCUUUUACUUCAUUUGAUAUGUAUAGUGAUAAACGUGACAAUGGCAGUUUGCCCCUGUAGUAACAUCUUCUUCCACACUUCCCUUCCUGAAGCAUUCUUCCUGUUUCAAAUCUUAUUUGUUCCAAGUCUUGUUUAGAAGAAUGAGGAUAAUACAGUCACUUCACGUGGCACAUGCUAUCACACAAUGAGUGAAACUUACUUUUCUAAGCAACGAACACUUUAAAAUUUUAAGAAGCUUUUAAAACAUACUCAAUGAUUACGAAAGAAAAUAUGAAAACUCAGCUUUGAGAAUGAAAACUAAAGAAUACAGAAUAGGAAGAAAUAAUGGUGGGC